rnacentral:tRNA from 1 species
GGAGGCUUGCCCGAGCGGCCUAAGGGAACGGUCUUGAAAACCGUCGUGGCAGCGAUGUCACCGAGGGUUCA